rnacentral:rRNA from 1 species
ACGAACGCUGGCGGCGUGCUUAACACAUGCAAGUCGAACGGUAAGGCCUUUCGGGGUACACGAGUGGCGAACGGGUGAGUAACACGUGGGUGAUCUGCCCUGCACUUUGGGAUAAGCCUGGGAAACUGGGUCUAAUACCGAAUAUGACCAUGGUGUGCAUGCGCUGUGGUGGAAAGCUUUUGCGGUGUGGGAUGGGCCCGCGGCCUAUCAGCUUGUUGGUGAGGUAAUGGCUUACCAAGGCGACGACGGGUAGCCG